AGCCACCGCGGCGACUUGGCGGCGGGUGCCAUGCGUCUGGAGCUUCACAUUCUCUGCCCCCCACCCACCGCGCCGGCGCUCCCUUGUCACGCCUCGGGAAGCGCGCACCUGCCAAGCAGGAUGAAUAAUCUGAUAUCAUGUGAAAUGAGGAAAUAAGAAGCUUUCUGCUGACUUCAUUUUGACCCAGGGUCCAAAAGGUGAUGUAAUCCUGUGGCAAGAAGAUUCAAAACUGUGGACUAUCUUGCAAAAAAUACAAGAAGAUAUUGAAAGUUUUCAUGAGUGCCUACCACCUAAUCUCAAACACUAUCAUUCAUAUGUGCCUCAUUGAGCAAAUCUUUAAUGAGGAUCUAUAUGCCAGAUAAUGUAGGCAUUGUUCCUAAGUCAUGCAGAGGGGUUGUGUAAGCAUGGUCAUUUGCAUCAUUAUCCUGCACGUCUGAUACAGCCAAACUCCACGCCACCUGGUUUGCUCAAUAUCUUUUGCUUGGGAGCAGAAACAGAAAGUACAUGAUGGACUUCAUUGAAGGAUGGAGAUUUGGAAGACAUGAAUGGAUGAAGAACCAAGUGCGUGAGGGCACCUAUCAGGAUUAUUGCUGAAAUCCUUAUGGAGUUAACUGGCUGAGAGGAAGACGGAGUCUCGCUCUGUUGCCCAGGCUGUAGUUCAGUGGUGCAAUCUCAGCUCACUGCAAGCUCUGCCUCCCGGGUUCAUGCCAUUCUUCUGCCUCAGCCUCCCGAGUAGCUGGGACUACAAGCGCCUGCUACCACGCCUGGCUAAUUUUUUGUAUUUUUUAGUAGAGACGGAGUUUCACCAUGUUAGCCAGGAUGGUCUCGAUCUCCUGACCUUGUGAUCCACCCAUCUCGGCCUCCCAAAGUGCUAGGAUUACAGGCAUGAGCCACCACGCCCAGCCAACUUAUAACUUUUAUAUCAUUAGACACAUGGAAUAUGGGCCUCCGUUUGUACUCUUGCCCUUGGCCCCACAAACGUUAGGGAGAGGCCUGGCUCCUGCAAUGUACUAUUUACCUGUUGUAAAGAAUAGCCCUUCAAAAGUAUUAUUCUAAGUCUGUUUGACAUAAUAGGUCCAAAUUGUAUUACAACAUGGUAAAAAAACAACAAUCCAUUAACAAUCCUCUUUGGAUUUCUAAAAAAGUUUUGGUAGCCUAAACUCUUUCCCCAAUUUUUGAUAUCACUUCAUGUCAUUUUAGAGAGUAAGUUUUCCUGUUUUAUUAAUGUUUAUAUUUAAGCUGAAUUUUCUAAAAGAAUUGUGAGUGUUUUUAUUCUAUUGUGACAUUCAAGGUACGCAGCUGACCCUUGAGUAUAAGUCCCAUCAACUAAGUAAACAUCAAACAUAUCUUCAGUACAUCCCUUUAGAUCUUGACAGUUAUUUAUCACUUUUUCAUAAGUUCCAAAGUUCCAGAUGGUUACUGAUACAUUCAGGCUGACCACUGCUAGAUUUGAGACUUGUCCCACAGAUCUGCACUGUAUCUUCAUACCUUCAUUAAUAGAUCUUUUAUUCUUUUUUUUUUUAAUUUUUUUGGAGACGUGGGUCUCAUUAUGUUGCCCAGGCUGGUCUUGAACUUCUGGCCUCAAGUGAUCCUCCCAACUCAGCCUCCCAAAGUAUUGGAAUUAUAGGUGUGAGCCACUACACCCAGCCUAGAUCUCAAUCAGGUGACACUGAAAAUGUUUGGUCAUAAACCACAGUGAAGGAAGGGGAGGCAGCUGUUAGAUCAUCUGCCUUGACCCACAGUCCUCAUCCAUUUGCACCUUGGCAAGCCCUCUACUACAUCUGAAUCUCGAAAUGGGGGAUAACCUCUUGGGAGAGUCUAUGCUAGUACCCUUCUAGUAGUAGUUUACAAUCUGCCAACAAAUCUUGAAGCCUUAUUUGGUUGAUAUCAAUUUGAGAGGUGGGAGGUUCAGUUUCCAAAGAGUCAGGAAAGAGCAUUCAUCUAGGCUUGAGAAGCCUCCAUUUCCUAACUCAAGAGUUCUGAUUAGGUUGUUGGUUGAGUGACACAAGGCAAUCAUCUCACUUUUCUGUUCCUGAGCUUCUCCUUUUAUAGAAUGUGGGCAGGAGUGUGGAGAGGGAGAAUUUAUUUCAUUUCCUGUUUUCCAAACUUACUAAACUGUGGAAACUUUUUCUUUUGCAGCAUUGGGCAAAACUGAUGUUCUAAGGAACAUUCUUUAGGAAAGGUUAGCCAGAUCCGUGGUUCUCAACAGGCAUGUGGUACACAUUUAAUAAUGUCUGGAGACGUUUUUGGUUGUCACAACUGGGGAUCCAGGGAUGCUGCUAAACAUCCUGCAAUGCCUAGGACAGCCCUCCACAACGGAGAAUUAUCCAACUCAAAAUGCCAAUCAUUCUAAGGGGUUGAAAAACUCUGGACUAUAUGAACUAUCUCAAUUCUCUUUCAACACUAACAUUUAAAUGUGGUGUUUCUUGUUUUUUAAACACACAAAAUUUUAUUUCUGUUUUACACAAAGUCAGCUAUGGGUAUGGAUGAAUCUGCGGACAGUUUUCUUCCAUGUGUUGGCUCCAUAUUUCAGCUGCUUUGAUCUUUUUGACAUCUUAUCAAUGUGUUCUUCUAUGAUUUCCUUGGCAGAGAAAGAGAAAGCAGAGAGAAUCAUGUGCUGGAUCUUAAAUGCUUCUACGUGGAUGUAGUAAAUGUCUCUUCUACUUUUUUUAAAUAAGAAGUGUAUUAAAAUAUAAUCCAUGUAUCAUAUAAUUUACUCAUUUAAGGCAUAAAAUUCGGCUGGGUAUGGUGGCUCACACCUGUAAUCCCAGCACUUUGGGAGGUUGAGGUGGGGUGAAUCUCUUGAGCCCAGGAGUUUGAGACCAGACUGGGCAACAUGGCAAAACCCCAUCUCUACAAAAAAUACAAAAAUUAGCCAGGUGUGGUGGCACGCACCUGUAAUCCCAGCUAUUUGGGAGGUUGAGGUGGGAGUAUUGCUUGAGUUUUGAAGGCAGAGGUUGCAGUGAGCCAAGAUUGUGCCACUGCACUCCAGCCAGGGUGACAGAGUGAGACUGUCUCAAAAAAAAUUUUUCAGCUAAAAUAAAGUGUAAAACUCUGUAGUUUUUAGUGUAUCCACAAAAUGUGUGCAAUCGUCUCUACACUCAAUUUUAGAACAUUUGAAUCACCCCCAGAAGAAACACUGUACCUAUUAACAGCCAUUCCCAAUUUUCCCUCAACACCUCCACCUCAGCCCUAGGCAACCACUAACCUAUUUUCUAUCUCUAUAGGUUUACCUAUACUGGAUAUUACAUAUAAAUGGAAUCAUGUCCUUUGUAACUGUCUUCUUUCACUUUGCAUAAUGUUUUCAAGGUUCAUUCAUGUUGCAUCCUUCUCAAUAUUUCAUUUUUAUUGCUGAAUAAUAUUCCAUUGUAUGAAUAUAACACAUUUUAUUUAUCCAUUCAUCGCUUGAUGGAUAUAUGAGCCAUUUCUACUUUUUAGAUAUUCUGAAUAAUGCUGCUAUGAAUACUUAUAUGCAAGUUUUUACAUGGACGUAUGUCUUCAUUUCUCUUAGGUUAUAUAUCUAAGAAAGGAAUUACUGAAUCAUACGAUAACUUUAUGCUUAGACUUUUGAGAAACUGCCAGACUGCUCUCCAAAAUGACUGUGCCAUUUUACAUUCCCAAAAGUAAUGUAUGAAGUUUCUAAUUUUUCCACACCCUCACCAACACUUAUUAUCUGUGUUUUUGAUUCUUGCCAUCCUAGUGUGUGUGAAGUAGUUUCUCACUGUGAUUUGUAUUUGAAUCUUCUUGAAGGCUAAUGAUUUUGAGCAUCUUUUCAUGUGCUUAUCGUCUCUUCUUUAUAUAGAUGUCUAUUCAGGUCCUUGGCCCAUUUUUAAUUUGGGCUAUUUGUCUUUUCAUUACUGAGUUUUAAGAAUAAUUUUUGUUUAUUCUAGACACACAUCCCAUAUUAGAUAGGUGAUUUGCAACUAUUUCCUCCCAUUCUGUAGGUUUCUUGCUGGUGUCCUUUUAGGAAUAGAAGUUUUACGUUUUGAUGAAGUCAAGUGUGUAUGUUUUCUUUUGUUGCUUGUGUGUUUGAUCUCAUAUCAAAAAACCAUUGCACAAUCCAAGGCCACAAAGAGUUAUGUCUAUGUUUUCUAGAUUUUUAUCAUUUUAGUGCUUACAUUUAGGUCUUUGAUCUUUUUGUGUUAAUUUUUUAUAUUGGGUGUGAGGUAAAAAUCCAACUUCAUUCUUUUGCAUGUGAUAUCCAAUUAUCCAGAACCACUUGUUGAGAAGGCUAGUUCUUCCUCACUGGAUUAUCUUGGCACCCUUGUCAAAAAUAAGUUGACUGUAGAUGUGAAGGUGUAUGAGUUGCUAAAAUACCUCUUCUGUGAUAUUUAUAAUUUAUUUUCUAAAAGGAUAAGUUAUAGGUCACAUCUCAGAUUACAAUGAUUCAAGUCAAAAAGUUCAAAGUAGAAUUUACUUUCAAAAUUGUUUGUUCCCCCAGAGCUAGUUAAUGCCCCCAGAGCUAGUUAAUAAACUCUAUUUGCAGAUAAAAGCAUGCUUUCCCUUCAAAGGUAUUUCACCAAGACGGGAAACACAAAACUAAAUAAGCUGGGAAACUGAGGAUACACAGAGGGUCUCCUUAAUCUCUGGAUAUGUGGUCUAAUGUAUCCUUUUUGUGCUCAUUUUUUCCCUUUUAUCCAGAAAUACAACAUUACCUUUUUAUAAAAUUCCUGGAGAUUGAUCAUAUCUCUAGUGUUUGGGUCUAGAAUGUAUUUUUUGGCCAAAACAUCUCUUUACCCCACUUCCACAUGUGGAAAGAAAGAAAACAUGGUACUCUAAUCUCACAAGUGAGGCAUGGGGUUGUUUCCUGAAAUGAGGCAAGGACUUUGGACAAGAACAUGUUUGGACUUGAGAUGGUUUUUGUAAACCCAAAUGAUAUUAGUUCUAGUCUGUCUUUAUCGCUCACUGUAUUUUGUUUUCAUUCAUACUAAUGAAUAAUAGACUUGAUUGUGUUCCAUCAUUUAUGUCAUUAAUAUUUCCUUUAUGUUUGAGUGCUGUGCAGUUCUCCUUGAAACUUGUAUGGAGAUUGAACUUGAUAGUGAUUUAAAGUAAUUAAUUCAUAUGUCAGUUGUUAGCAAGGUCUAGUAAUUAAAAUCUACUUUAGAGUAAG
rnacentral:lncRNA from 1 species